rnacentral:rRNA from 1 species
GACGAACGCUGGCGGCGCGCCUAACACAUGCAAGUCGAACGAGCGAGAGAGAGCUUGCUUUCUCGAGCAAGUGGCGAACGGGUGAGUAACGCGUGAGGAACCUGCCUCAAAGAGGGGGACAACAGUUGGAAACGACUGCUAAUACCGCAUAAGCCCACGGUGCCGCAUGGCACAGAGGGAAAAGGAGCAAUCCGCUUUGAGAUGGCCUCGCGUCCGAUUAGCUAGUUGGUGAGGUAAUGGCCCACCAAGGCGACGAUCGGUAGCCGGACUGAGAGGUUGAACGGCCACAUUGGGACUGAGACACGGCCCAGACUCCUACGGGAGGCAGCAGUGGGGAAUAUUGCACAAUGGGGGAAACCCUGAUGCAGCGACGCCGCGUGGAGGAAGAAGGUCUUCGGAUUGUAAACUCCUGUUGUUGGGGAAGAUAAUGACGGUACCCAACAAGGAAGUGACGGCUAACUACGUG